UGCCGGGUCGUCUAAUUGGUAGGACGCCAGGUUUUGGUCCUGGUAGUUUGGGUUCGAGUCCUAACCCGGCAACAA
rnacentral:tRNA from 1 species